rnacentral:rRNA from 1 species
CCUACGGGUGGCAGCAGUGAGGACUAUUGGUCAAUGGGCGAGAGCCUGAACCAGCCAAGUCGCGUGAAGGAUGACGGCCCUACGGGUUGUAAACUUCUUUUGUCAGGGAGCAAUUGGGUCCACGCGUGGGCUUAGCGAGAGUACCUGACGAAAAAGCAUCGGAUAACUCCGUACCAGCAGCCGCUGGAAUACGGAGUAUGCGAGCGUUAUCCGGAUUUAUUGGGUUGAAAGGGUGCGUAGGCGGAAUAUCAAGUCAGCGGUAAAAAUUGGGGGCUCAAACCCGUCGUGCCGUUGAAACUGAUGUUCUUGAGGGGGCGAGAGGUAUGCGGAAUGCGUGGUGUAGCGGUGAAAUGCAUAGAUAUCACGCAGAACUCCGAUUGCGAAGGCAGCAUACCGGCGCCCAACUGACGCUGAAGCACGAAAGCGUGGGUAUCGAACAGGAUUAGAUACCCUAGUAGUC